GACGGAGGAUGCAAGUGUUAUCCGGAAUCACUGGGCGUAAAGCGUCUGUAGGUGGUUUUAAAAAAGUCCACUGUUAAAAGAUUGAAGCUUAACUUCAAAAAUGCCGUGGAAACUUUUAAACUUGAGUAUGAUAGGGGUAGAGGGAAUUUCCAGUGGAGCGGUGAAAUGCGUAGAUAUUGGAAAGACCACCAAUGGCGAAGGCACUCUACUGGGCCAUUACUGACACUGAGAGACGAAAGCUAGGGGAGCAAAUGGG
rnacentral:rRNA from 1 species